rnacentral:lncRNA from 1 species
UUUUAUUAUCUCAAUUUGUUAAGGCAAGUCUAAUUAGGUUAUAAAAUUAAGUGUACAUGAGUAAAUAUUUAAAUUCCAAAAAGAGUGUAAUGGAAACCCUAAUUAAAUAAUUAGGGUACGAUAAAUUUUAAGUUUUGGACCAUGCUAUUUUACAUGACCCAAACAAUUUAUUCAGGAGGCCUAAAAUAUUUAAUUUAGUAGCCCAAAAUAAUGGGACAUGUGUUAGUAGAAUAUCUAUGGUUAGGAAAUAACAUACUUGAGUUAAAGGUAGGAAAUUAUGGGAAAUGACUAUAUUGACCAAAAUAAAAUGCUUAAUGACUCAUGUGUCCUAAGAAGAAAUUUCUAGGAAGUUUCCUAGCAAUGGUGUGUUGACUCUUUUGCCCUUGGAGAAAGCUACUAAUGACCAAUGAGUCCUAGGAGAAAAUUGCUUGGAAGUUUACUAGUAAUGAUGAAAUGACUAAAUUACCCUUGGAUUUAUUUGUGAAAUUAUUAAAUAGAACCAAUCCAUGUGAACUUAAGUCGAAGCAUGACAUCAUCCUUAAAAAACACAAAGAUGAUGUCAUGAUGAUUUCACCUGGUGGAAGAUAUUUUGAGGGACUAAGGUGCAAUUAAUUAGGUACUAAAGUGUACUUAACCUAGGUACCAAACUGUAAUAAGUCGAGCCCCUAACGUACAAAUAGAGAAAAUAUGUUUUCCUAUAAAUAGGUGGCUAAGCUCAUUAGUUCUUCACCAAUUUACAAAGCAAAGUUAUAAUCAAGAAUUAGACAGAGAGAGUUCUUGUGAGAUUGUAAAGGAUUAGUUAAAGCUUGCAACUUCAAGAGGUAUUUACUCUAGUGGUUAUUAUUUUCAUUCUUCUUUAUAUAUUUAGUAAAAUAUACUUUUAUAAGCAGUUAUAAUGCCCAAAUUAUUUUAAGUAUAUAGUAUAAAAUUCCUAUUUACAAGUAGUUAUUAUGUCUGAUUUAUUACACUUAUAAUAAAGUAGAAAAUAUAUUUUUAUAAGCAG